AUUGAACGCUGGCGGCAUGCUUUACACAUGCAAGUCGAACGGUAACAGGCCGCAAGGUGCUGACGAGUGGCGAACGGGUGAGUAAUGCAUCGGAACGUGCCCAGUCGUGGGGGAUAACGCAGCGAAAGCUGCGCUAAUACCGCAUACGAUCUCUGGAUGAAAGCGGGGGACCGAAAGGCCUCGUGCUGUUGGAGCGGCCGAGGUCAGAUUAGGUAGUUGGUGGGGUAAAGGCCCACCAAGCCAACGAUCUGUAGCUGGUCUGAGAGGACGACCAGCCACACUGGGACUGAGACACGGCCCAGACUCCUACGGGAGGCAGCAGUGGGGAAUUUUGGACAAUGGGCGCAAGCCUGAUCCAGCAAUGCCGCGUGCAGGAAGAAGGCCUUCGGGUUGUAAACUGCUUUUGUACGGAACGAAACGGUCCGGGUUAAUACCCUGGGCUAAUGACGGUACCGUAAGAAUAAGCACCGGCUAACUACGUGCCAGCAGCCGCCGUAA
rnacentral:rRNA from 1 species